UUCCACGGCGGCUGUGCGCGGGAGAUCUUCGGAUCUGCCGGUUUUCUCUGUAACCGGUUCGCCAACCUGCGUACAGCCACCACCCAA
rnacentral:antisense_RNA from 1 species